rnacentral:rRNA from 1 species
AGUAACUGCGAGUGAAGCGGGAAAAGCUCAAAUUUAAAAUCUGGCGGUCUCCGGCCGUCCGAGUUGUAAUCUAGAGAAGUGUUAUCCGCGCUGGACCGUGUACAAGUCUCCUGGAAUGGAGCGUCAUAGAGGGUGAGAAUCCCGUCUUUGACACGGACUACCAGGGCUUUGUGAUGCGCUCUCAAAGAGUCGAGUUGUUUGGGAAUGCAGCUCAAAAUGGGUGGUAAAUUCCAUCUAAAGCUAAAUAUUGGCGAGAGACCGAUAGCGAACAAGUACCGUGAGGGAAAGAUGAAAAGAACUUUGGAAAGAGAGUUAAACAGUACGUGAAAUUGCUGAAAGGGAAACGCUUGAAGUCAGUCGCGUUGGCCGGGGAUCAACCUUGCUUUUGCUGGGCGUACUUUCCGGUUGACGGGUCAGCAUCAAUUUUGACCGUUGGAUAAAGUCCAGGGGAAUGUGGCAUCUUCGGAUGUGUUAUAGCCCUUGGUCGCAUACAACGGUUGGGAUUGAGGAACUCAGCACGCCGCAAGGCCGGGUACUUGUACCACGUUCGUGCUUAGGAUGCUGGCAUAAUGGCUUUAAUCGACCCGUCUUGAAACACGGACCAAGGAGUCUAACAUGCCUGCGAGUGUUUGGGUGGAAAACUCGGACGCGUAAUGAAAGUGAAAGUUGAGAUCCCUGUCGUGGGGAGCAUCGACGCCCGGACCAGACCUUUUGUGACGGAUCCGCGGUAGAGCAUGUAUGUUGGGACCCGAAAGAUGGUGAACUAUGCCUGAAUAGGGUGAAGCCAGAGGAAACUCUGGUGGAGGCUCGUAGCGAUUCUGACGUGCAAAUCGAUCGUCAAAUUUGGGUAUAG